rnacentral:rRNA from 1 species
UGACGGGGGCCCGCACAAGCGGUGGAGCAUGUGGUUUAUUCGAAGCAACGCGCAGAACCUUACCAGCUCUUGACAUCCUGCGACGCGUGGAGAGACUCACGUUUCCCUUCGGGGACGCAGAGACAGGUGCUGCAUGGCUGUCGUCAGCUCGUGUCGUGAGAUGUUGGGUUAAGUCCCGCAACGAGCGCAACCCUCGCCCCUAGUUGCCAUCAUUCAGUUGGGCACUCUAGGGGGACUGCCGGUGAUAAGCCGAGAGGAAGGUGGGGAUGACGUCAAGUCCUCAUGGCCCUUACGGGCUGGGCUACACACGUGCUACAAUGGCGGUGACAAUGGGCAGCUAGGUCGCGAGGCCAUGCUAAUCCCUAAAAGCCGUCUCAGUUCGGAUUGCACUCUGCAACUCGAGUGCAUGAAGUUGGAAUCGCUAGUAAUCGCGUAACAGCAUGACGCGGUGAAUACGUUCCCGGGCCUUGUACACACCGCCCGUCACACCAUGGGAGUUGGGUUUACCCGAAGGCAGUGCGCUAACCGCGAGGAGGCAGCUGACCACGGUAGGCUCAGCGACUGGGGUGAAGUCGU